rnacentral:SRP_RNA from 1 species
GCCAGGCGUUGUGGCGGGUGCCUGUGGUCCCAGCUACUUGGGAGGCUGAGGCAGGAGACUCGCUUGAGCCCAGGAGUUGGAGGUUGCUGUGAGCUGUGAUGUCACAACACUCUACCCAGGGGGACAGCUUGAGGCUCCUGUCUCAAAAAAAAAACAAGAGAUGCUUUGAUUUCCCUUUUUCUUUUUUUUUUUCUUCAGAGACACAGUCUCACUUUAUUGCCCUGGGUAGAGUGUCGCGGUGUCACAGCUCACAGCAACCUCCAACUCCUGGGCUUAGGUGAUUCUCUUGCCUCAG